rnacentral:rRNA from 1 species
AGUCAUCAUGGCCCUUACGAGUAGGGCUACACACGUGCUACAAUGGCGCAUACAGAGGGCAGCAAGCUAGCGAUAGUGAGCGAAUCCCAAAAAGUGCGUCGUAGUCCGGAUUGGAGUCUGCAACUCGACUCCAUGAAGUCGGAAUCGCUAGUAAUCGUGAAUCAGAAUGUCACGGUGAAUACGUUCCCGGGCCUUGUACACACCGCCCGUCACACCAUGGGAGUGGGCUGCAAAAGAAGUGGGUAGUUUAACCUUUCGGGGAGGACGCUCACCACUUUGUGGUUCAUGACUGGGGUGAAGUCGUAACAAGGUAGCCCUAGGGGAACCUGGGGCUGGAUCACCUCCUUAUACGAAGAUAC